UGGAGAGCGUCCGCCGAUGGCCCAACCACAAAACGCUUGUACCGAAAAUUGUCGUCUGA
rnacentral:rRNA from 1 species